rnacentral:rRNA from 1 species
UAGCGAAGGGAUGCAAGCUGUUACGUCGGAAUUACUGGGCGUAAAGCGUGCGUAGGUGGUGAGUUAAGUCUGUCGUGAAAGCCCCGGGCUCAACCUGGGAAUGGCGAUGGAUACUGGCUCGCUAGAGUGCGGUAGAGGAGAGUGGAAUUCCCGGUGUAGCAGUGAAAUGCGUAGAGAUCGGGAGGAACAUCAGUUGCGAAGGCGGCUCUCUGGACCAGCACUGACACUGAGGCACGAAAGCGUGGGGAGCAAACGGG